rnacentral:tRNA from 12 species
GAAGAUGAUGAGCGUUGGACUUCUGAUCCAAAGGUCGCAAGUUCAAUUCCCC